AACGAACGCUGGCGGCAUGCCUAACACAUGCAAGUCGAACGAGGCCUUCGGGUCUAGUGGCGCACGGGUGCGUAACGCGUGGGAACCUGCCCUUAGGUUCGGAAUAACUCCCCGAAAGGGGUGCUAAUACCGGAUAAUGUCUUCGGACCAAAGAUUUAUCGCCUUUGGAUGGGCCCGCGUUGGAUUAGCUAGUUGGUAGGGUAAAAGCCUACCAAGGCGACGAUCCAUAGCUGGUCUGGGAGGAUGAUCAGCCACACUGGGACUGAGACACGGCCCAGACUCCUACGGGAGGCAGCAGUGGGGAAUAUUGGACAAUGGGCGAAAGCCUGAUCCAGCAAUGCCGCGUGAGUGAUGAAGGCCUUAGGGUUGUAAAGCUCUUUUACCCGGGAUGAUAAUGACAGUACCGGGAGAAUAAGCUCCGGCUAACUCCGUG
rnacentral:rRNA from 1 species